CCGCGUGUCCGUCCCUUCACUGCCUCUCUGCUCCCGCGAGCCAGGGCAGGGCGCUGACGGGGCGCGGUCUGUGGAAGAAGCGCCCUCCGGCGGCGGUGCAGUCACCUGCCCUGGAGGUUUUCAAUAGGAGACUGGACAGUCAGCUCGCUGGGGUCACCUGACUCCGGUUGUCUUCCUGCCUUGUGGGGGGGGCUGGACCUGAUGAUCUGCGAGCUCCCUUCCAGCCCCUGACAGUCUAUGACUCUAUGAACUGAGGCACAGAGUGGGUAGGUGGCCUAAAAUUACAGAGAAAGUCAACUGAAAAUCAGGGAAUCUUUUUAAGAGGCCUAGUCUCUUGACCAAGCACUUUUAAAAACUCCUGUCCUUGUAACCCAGAGGUGGAUUCUUGGCACUUACGACAAGGUCCAGGCGAGUGAAUGCAAAUCCAGAGGUCCACUCAAGCAGCUCAGAUUGCUGGACUGAGACCCUAAUCCAGGUGCAGGCAAUUAUUUUGGGCAGAGAGCCACUUACUGAGUUUUGUCAUGCAGCCCUCGAUGGCUUGCCAGGCAGCCAGGGGCAGAUUAAUAUUAAUUUUCUAAUUUUUUUAGGUGACCCGUGGGCCAGACAGAAUUUUGCCCAUCCCUGCCCUAAUCCAUGCAGCAUCAGAACUAUGGCCACUUCUAGGUUGGAGGGCAGCAGCUAUGUAGUCCACAGCAUGAGACCUGAAAGCACAAGAGAGAGACUUCUUCCUUUCAGUUCUGGUGUCCACUCACAUCCGGCAUAGUUCACCUAGAAGGAAACUGCAGUUGGAGGGAAUAUCCUGCUCAGCACCCAUUAGCCCUAGGUUGGAGCAUGCUUGGCGAGGACAAAAUCUUCAGUCUUGGCUAACCAAUGAAUCAGGAAACAGCUACACUCUUAAGAAACCAAUGAAUUGCAAAAGAACUGCUACAAGGUGAGACUACAAGAUAUAUUAAAUGUUCUUAAGAAGUGCCUCAUAACAACUAGCAUGACAGAUCCAUGGCUUACAGAAGAGUAAUGGUUAGCUUAAAGUUGUAAGAGUUCCUUCACUAAAGAUAGUAACAUGGCUUGCGUCUCAGCUCUUGUAAUACAGGCAGUCCUCGACUUACAACGUUUCACACUUACAACGUUUAUAAACUGACACUCUGUUUUAACUUUAUGACAUCAGUUUCGACUUUACAAUGCUUGAUCCAAUGCAACGCCACGCCA